AUAUAAUUGUCUGAGAGUUUUUGCUACUAUAUACCUUGUUUAUUUUACAACGGUCUGCUCUGGUGAAGGAGUGUUUCAUAAGUCUCAUAAUCAAUUGAAGAGAAGCGGGCAUUCAUAACACAGAAGAUCCUUCUAGCUGCUGGUGACGAGCGUAGAGGAAGUGGAAGCAAUUGCGGAAGCUUAGUGGACCCUGUUCAUUGAAGGUACAUAUUGGAUAGAAUCGGGGAAUUUGGAGCGUAAUUGGAGCAAUCAGGAUUAGAAGAAGCAGAACUGAUCAAGUCAGAGCAUGUUUCUAUCGAACCUCCUCAGAAACCUCCUCAGAAACACCUGUCUCGAUUGAGACAUGGGUGGUUUCGAUAGAAACCAUGUCAGAAAUGCUUCCAGGGGACUUUUUAGCUAGCCUAUUUCUAUAGAAACCACUUCAUUUCGAAAGAAACACCUCAUUAAUGAAGACACAUGAUUUGAAGCUGAAAAGGCACAUGUGGACAAAUCUGUGGUCUAUUUUGAUUGGCUACCUCAUUUAGACUUGUCAUAUAGUGUAUUUUAUUCCCUUUUUGUCCUUGAACUAUAAAAGGAUCCCCUUUUUCUAUUUUUAGGGUUAUCCACUAUUAUUAGAAUUUUGUAGCCCCCAUCUUAGUUUACUAUUCUCAGCUUUGUAAAUUCCCUUUGUUCUUAGUUUUAUCAAGCUUUAUUGUGGAUUCUAGUGUUUAAUCAAUAGAAGAUUAUUGUUCCUCCUUUUA